rnacentral:misc_RNA from 1 species
CACCACUCAAGCCUGGCUUGGUGUUGGGCGACGUCCCCUUUGGGGACGCGCCUCGAAACGCUCGGCGGCGUGGCACCGGCUUUAAGCGUAGCAGAAUCUUUCGCUUUGGAAGUCGGGGCCCCGUCUGCCGGAAGACCUAUUCGCAA